CAAGGACUGAGAGCCAAUCUAGAGGGUAGGAGAGGCUUCUCAUCAAGAUCUCAUUUCCUGAAAAUAGAGUGCCAUGAGGCAGAACCAGCUACCCUACCACCACCCCGCAGAGAGCUCCUGUUACCAGACUUAACACCCAAAGGAGGGAAAGCCGUGAGCUGCCUGGGCUUCUACCGGCCAGGUGCAGGGGGGGCUUCAAAGUGAGGAGUUUCUCCCAGUGAAGAUCAAUCCCCAGGAAUUACUGAUGACCUCAUCCUUGUGCCAACGCUGCAGAGAAAGUGCCAGAAGGAUCCCGUCUGGCUUUGCUCACAUAGGGACGUCUGCUUCUCAUGCCGCUCGCCCCACCCCUUGCUCCGUGUGACCAUCACGCUCAGGCUGGUGAAAUGGCAGGAGCUCAUGGGCAGGGGGACUGGCUUCAGUGAGGCAGAGCUGGGCUCUAGCGCAUCCACAGUGCACGGGGAAUGGACAGAAGGUGGCUGGAGACGUGAGCCGCACACCUGUCCACCUGUCACCUGAACCAGCCAGCGUCAUGAGCACUGUGAGCACCCACUCCCGGGGAGGAGAGAGAAGCCCUUCCAGUGUUAGGGAGAAGGAGAUCAGCUUCGCUUGGUUCACUUUACAAGGGGAAGACCCCUCGCCUCGGAAACCAUCCCAAGUUCACCGUGGCUGCCAGAAAUUCAGCAACUGUAAUAAAGAUCAGA